UGUUACUUGACGCGACAGGAGUAAAGAAGAUUAUAGAUAAAUAACAUAAAUCAAAGUAAAAGAAUACACAAAAUACCAGAAAUAUCAAAGAACAAAACUACAUAACCUGUCAAAAACAGUAAAUAGAAGUAUGUCAGUAUCUGCAUAAAACUAAAGGUCUAUUUUUAUCAUUCUUAUAAUGUAGAAGAAUUGACAUUUCGUUUACAACAUACAAUGAUACAAGAUAAAAUGUUGGCCAAAACAUCAAGGAUAGUUGGCCUGUGCUCGAUCGCCAAUUUUAUUAAUGCAGCGGACAGAGUUAUCAUGCCCAUCGCCAUUGUACCCAUGACUGAUCAGUUCAAGUGGAGCUUACACUGGCAAGGGUGGAUUCUAUCAGCUUUCGCUUUCGGCUACUUUACCAGUCAGGUAAUUGGUGCGUGUGCAGCCAGUAGGUUUGGAGGCAAGACGGUGCUACUGUUUGCUGUGUUCCUAUGGUCAGUGUCGACUUCUGUCACACCACUGCUGGCCACUUCCAUCCCUGCCCUCAUCUUCUGCAGGGUACUACUAGGCCUGGGGGAGGGUUUAGGCCUCCCUACGAUAUUCCAUAUAUUCGCACACAAUGUGCCAAUAGAAGAGAGGUCAAGAGCUUUUGGAUACUUAGUUGCGGCAGGGUCAGUUGGCCAAACUGUGGCUUCCAUUGUUUGCCCCCACCUGACGUGGCAAACAAGUUUCUACCUGUUCGGCACUCUGGGUAUUGUUUGGGUGUUCAUCUGGCUCGUCUUCUACAAUGAUAGCACGACACUUACCAAGGACGAAAUACCCUUGUUUGUACCAAAAGUGACGAACACAAAUGUGCGCUGGACAGAGUUCAUGUGUCACUGGCCUCUGUGGGCCGUAUACGUUGCCCACUUCGCCAUGAACUGGUCUAACUACAUCAUCAUGCAGUGGCUGCCCACCUACUUGAGCCGCAACUUGGGUGCCAACAAGGAGAGUAUCAGUCUCACCGCUGUCCCAUACAUCAUCAACAGCCUCAUCGGCAUCGUUGCUGGUCACUUUGCGGACACAUUGGUCAGCCGACGUUGGUCCGUAUUGUCAGUCCGGAGGCUAAUGACCAGCGUGGGUCUCAUUGGCCCAGGUGUUUUCCUUCUAGCUUUUUGUGCAGUUGACAACCUACUGGCAGCUGUCGUGUUUGUCUCUAUCUCGAUGGGUCUGUGCGCGUGUAACUCCGCUGGCCACCUCAGUAACCAUGCAGACAUCGCACCCAACCAUGCUGGAGUCACAUUCGCUAUAUCCAACACAUUGGCAACAAUCCCUGGUAUCUUGUGUGGACCACUUACUGCGGAAUUGGUGACGACGUCUCAUGGCCGUUGGUUCCCUGUCUUUGUGUUGGCUGCGGGAGUCAACUUCACCGCAGCUGUCAUAUACUACAGUCAGUCGUCCGCGUCUCAGGUCCUCUGAUCCCAGUAUAAAAAAAUCAUACUAGGCGUAUUUGGAAAGUAAGUACCAUUUCAUUGUACCGCCAACACAGCGCUGCGGUUGGCUUGCGCGAGGUUCGGUGGUUCUGGCGUUGAAGGCUGCCACUUUGGCCGAAGUCUGAGCCAGUCUAUCCCUGCACCAACACAACAGUUUACUGUACCUCUCACGUCACAUUGUCGCUGGGUCCUGCAUCACAUCUAACUGAAAAUGAUGAAAUCCAAGAAUCCUUGGUACUCUGUAUCAAGCAAGUCUCUAAUAUUGAAUUAAUCUCUUAAGUUAUUGUUGAUGGUUCAAUAUUUUGCCUGCUCCAACAAGUCAGCUUAAAAUUGUUUUAAAUAUUUAAAAAAAUAUAUUUAUGAUUACUAUUUAUUAUUAGACUCUCUUUUGAGAAAAAGAUAAACAAACAACCCAACAAUAUAGGUGGAGAGUUAAAGAAAACAAUAUUAUUGUUUAGUAUUUAUGGUCCAACUCGAGAAAAUGUAAGCUCCCUUAGUUUAUUUUUAAGUAGUUAACUAAUUGUAGCGGUAUUGCCAACAUCCCACUAUGGUGAUGUGUGCUUUGGUAGUCACGUUCAUAGGUUUGACUACUAUACUAAUGUGGCUGUGAAUUGUUGUUUACUCAGGUGAACCUGAGUAUAUCUUGUAAUAGAAUUGAAAUAUGUGUUCAGUAAAAAGGAAAUAAUGCAAUACAACUCAAGCAGUUGUUAUUUUACAUGACAUCUCAAGAUAUUCAUUAAAAAUAUGAGAAAUGGCUUUACUGUCAGGUUAGGAUAGAAUACUGCUAGAAAAGUGCAUAUGGCACCAUUUGUCAAUUGAAUGAUUGAUUUUAUGAACUUUUUAGUUUACAAGAGAGUAGACCUUGCAUUCAUAAGGGGUUGUAGGGCCGAAAUACUGAUCAGUGAUGGGCGAUAACUUUGUAUCUUGCACUGGGUAGGUAGCACUAGCAUACUAAAUCUUAUAUUUUUUGCCAAUUCGUAUUGACUCACCAUUUAGACAUUAUUUCCUUUAAAAUUAAAUUAAAAUUAGAUUGCAGUGUUAAACUAUCAGAGUUACACAAUACAAAAUCUUGAAGAAAAUAAGAUGGGCCCAUUUAAACCAAUACUAAAACGCUGGUCUGUAGUUUGCACACUUUUUAAAAUAAACUACAUAACAUAUAGCAAUGAAAUUUAUGUGGGUUGUUUUAUAGAUAUUUUAUAUGGUUUAAAAAAUAACUUUUAAAGACUAUUUAUUUCCUAUAUACCUACAAAAAGAUUGUUUUACUUUAAUUUUAAUUUUUAAUUAUUUUUUUCUUCCUGCAAUCAUAUUAAAAGCUUGUGUCAAACCUUAUAAAAGACUUAAUUAAACAUGUGGUCAAAAUUUCAAUGCUUUCUAUCUCUUUUGCUUCCUCAGAAAAGUUUACAAAAUCCCAUUAAAAAGGUUAUUUUUGAACAAUUGCAAAAAAAUUUAGACAAAUUAAUUAUUCACAGAAAAUGUAUUAGUUUAAGCAGUUCCUACCUUGAAAUAAUUCUGUACCUUAGGUGUGAUCAUUAAAAUUUUCUUCUUCAACUUCAAGCUUUUUCUGUCCUUUGGUUUGUGCUUUCUUUGUCAUCUCUUAUGUUUGUUUUUCUAAAAAGUAAACUUGGUCUUUGUCCAUGUUCAUAGCUCACAAUGUGUUCAACAUUUAUUCUGAGAUUUUUCAUGAUUUCACAUUUGACAAUGUAGACAUCAUUAAAAGAUGCAAUAACUUCAUAAACACCAAAAUGAAAUGUUGAUAUGCCCAUAGAGUUUUGAGAAGUCAACUCCAAAUGAUGUUAUUCAUGUUUUCAUUAGGCUUUUCAGUGUGGCCAUGCAUAUGUUUUUGAGAAGGGUUUUCUUUGGUAUAUCAUCAAAGCUUUUUAGCUUUCAUUACCUCCUGAGGUAAUUCAGUUCAACAAAGAGAACUAGAGCAUCUGCCCAGGGUGUGUUGUGACGGAAAUCUGAGCGUGCAACAUAUUUUCUAAAGCAAAUAAAACUAGUUUACAACCCCUUAUAUGCCCCUUAAAUAUAAAAUAACAUAGAAUAAUCAAAUACAGUACAAAGGUCUUAACAUUUUAAAAAUAUUUGUUUACCAUUGUCUUCUGUGUAAUGUAUUUAUAGUUACAGUUCUUUUUUGUGCUGUAGAAGAACUCAGCCUGAACACAUCAGAGCAGAAACAGGUUUUAGCAUUGGAUGAUAUAUCUUUUCAUAGAAUAUUAAAUUAUUUAACAGAAGCUGAAAUUGAAAAAAUAUCUUAAUUUGAUUUUUCUACUAUCAGCUUGCUUCAGGUACAAUAUUAUACUACUAUUGUAUUGUUAUAAUAAUAAAAUGUAUAAUUUUUUUAUAGCAGAAGGUUUUAUAUGUAAAUAUUUACUAUUUUAAAUUGUAUCAACAAAAUAUUAUUACGUUUUCGAAAUGGCAGUAUGAUCUCCUCAGACCGGUUCAUAAUAUCACAAAUAAGACAGAGUAAAUAAGUCAUGUCAAUACUGUGUGUUGUGCUAACAUCAAGAACAAGCAACAUACAUAAUAUGUGUAGUGCAAGCACUAUUAUUAUUUGUGGAUAUAGUUCUAAUGUAGGUAGAAAGAAUAAUGUAAUGAUUUGCCUCUCCUGGGAACAAGGGAGUCUGCCUUGGACUGGGGAGGUUAUUACAGAAACAUUUGGAAUGAGAAGUCUGUUUCAAGUAUAUUAUUAAUUUAAUUUUUAUAACAAUAAACCCUACCUACAAUCACUGGAAAAAGCAGACUCUGGAAUAAAAGUAAAGAAAACUGGAACAUCAAAAUGAAACAAAAUUUGUUUCCCUUAUUUUAAAUGCUUCUUAUGCAGUUUUACUGCCUUUUCCUCUCUAAUUUAAUCAUCUUUUAUUAUUGCCAAAUUAUUUCAUAUCACAAAUUAUUUUGUACAAUACUUUGAACAUAAUUUUGAUGUCCUUGUUAAGGCUAAAUGAAAAAUAAUUAUUUUUACAACUGUUGAGUUAUACAUUUUCAAUAAAUUAUAUGUUUAAGAUUAAUAUGUAAUUCUGCAGUUGACUACAUUAUAAUUAAAUAUAGUUAUAAUAGCAAAUUGUUACUAUAAGAAAGUUUAAGAGCUUAGUUUUAUAAUUUUAUCAUAUAAUCUACAUAAUAAAAACUAACAUGAAACAAAGCAAUGGACUGAAGAGAAAUAUUUUAAGUUGUUUUAACUAGUGCUGGAACUUCAAGAAGAAAGUGAUAUGCGCCUAGCAAACAAUACCUGUCCUGUAACCAAUUUUAUUUUAAAAAAGUUCUUGGUACAAAAUCAGUGUUGUCUUACUGUUCAAGAAAUAAUAAAUAAUAAAAUGAUCUUUACCAGUAUUUAAUAUUUUUUGAAAUUUAUUUGAGAUAAAUCAGAAAAAAGGUUAAAAGUGAAGUUUUGUACCGUUGGCAUACUGUUAGCAAUAUGAAAUUUUAAAUACAAAGUUGUUUUGUUUAUAAGAAAGUUUAUUUCAUAACAUAACCUGGAUUUUAAUAUAAUAGUUUUGUCUUUUGUGUUAUUACUGAUUGGGCAUACUACUGUAUUUUGAAAUAGUUACAUGAAGUACUGAAAUCAUUUAAUAAAAAUAUCUAAACACUGUGCUUAUCUGAAUUUAUAUAAGAUAAAAAAUAAGUAUAUUAACUUUAAACAUGAGAUAUUUCAAGAUUAAUUUAAAAAAUAUCUUUACAAAUUAAUCAUAAUUUAACUACAAGUACAUUUUAUGUACAAAAUUAAAAAUUCUUUGAAGAGACUGACAGAAUUCUGUUGUUCUUGUUAACUAAUGAUGUUAUCCACGCCCCCUUGACCUCAGAUUGGGUUGCUUCUUUAAAGUUAAUUCUCUAAGUUGGCAAAUUUAGAGCAAUGACAGACCUGUGGCAUCGGUUUAUCACAUCAUCAAGCAAUGUUUAAUGCAUAUGAAAUUGCAGUCAUUGUAUGAAAGUUACUAGCAAUACAGAUAGAAAAUAUUUAUCUCUCCUUUUACUGUGAAAUAUUUAGAUAAAUUUUUGUUAUACUAUGUAUUAAAUAAAUAUAUUUAUUCCUAUUGUAUCAUCCUUUCAUCAAAGAACAAUUAAUUAUACAAAAAGUAAUAAAUCCACAAUACAUAGUUAUGUAUAUCUUGGUUUGUAUUGAUUAGCUGUAUUUAUAGUAAAAUUGCAUUGUUUUUAUGGCAAUAUUUUAAUAAUGUGAGUAAUAAACAUGCUAAUGACAAUGGACCGAGUGGUUGUUUAUAACAUAAUCAAGCUCAGUCAAUGACAGAUAUGGGUUUAAGGGUUUUAUAGAGUAAUACAUAUGAAGACUUAUUACAUACAAAAAUACAAGCAAGUAAGGUGAUAGGGUACAAGUAAGUACCUUAUCACUAAUAUAUAAGCUGUACUGAUCUAUGCUUGUGAAUAGUCUCAAUACCUUACUCUUUUUUAUUGUGAAAGUUUCUGAAGAUGUUUGAAAGUUUGAUACUCAAUCACACAAAGCCUUAGCGGUCAAAUUUAGACAAGAUUGGCAUGUACAUUGUUUAGGUAUAAAAAUAAAACACAAAUAAAUAUUCUGUAUAAGUAAUUUAAAAAUAAUUUAAAUACUGAAGAAAUAGUUAAAAUUUUUGAAUGUAAAUUGAGUCACAGCAACGCAAAAUGCCACACAGUAUCACAGAAUUUUGUAUUUAAUGAACAGGCCUUGACUGUUGCGCUGUGUUACAGAUACUAAUGAUAGUAUUAUCAUCUAACUUCUACUAUAGACGACAGUUUUUCUCUUGCUAUUAAAUAUUAUUGAAAUGAAACAUUGUUUAUAAAAUUCAAUUUAAUGAACAAAAUUGUAACUGUGUGCAUGUAAGAUACUAAAAAUUGGCUUCUUUAACAUAGUGAAAAGGCAGAUCUAUGUUAGCUGCAGAAAAGAAAAAAAAGCAUAGGGAUUUGGGUCCAAAUGACACAACAAACCAUUUACUCCAUUGCUUUGUAAAUUUUUGAAAACAAGCGAACGCAUUGAGCUCGUGACUGACACAUUGCAAAUGUACGACACACUUAAAGCACGAUUUUUUUUUAUUGUAGCAAACAAACAAAAAACACACUGUCCCUGUCUUUUAUCUAGGGGACAGUGAGUUCAUUUUUACACUGAUGGGGGAUACAAUACUGAUUAGGUAUGUAAAACUAAUAUAUAAUUCCUAGUAUGAUUCAAGAAAUACGAUGAUCCGAUGAUAUUUCAAACAGACAUUAAAGCAAGGGCAUACUAUGUAUUGUAUCAGGGCUACAGAUGUUUAUACUUUAGAUAAACGAAUACCGAGAAUACAAACAAAUAUCGAUCCAGGUGACGUGAAUUGAAGUGUUUGCAAAUGUUAUUAGUAAAUAGGGAUGGUCUAAAAAGUUCUUCUGUGUGUGUGUGUGCAUGUGCUCGUGUGUGUGUGUGUGUGUGUGUGUGUGUGUGUGUGUGUGUGUGUGUGUGUGUGUGUGUGUGUGUGUGAGUACAUAUCUUGAAAACCGUUUGGUGGACAGUGUAGAGAUCUAGCACCAAUGUUGGUCUUUUAAAGAUUAAGGCAUAGCCAUAAAAUCUAGGAUUUUUACUCUAUUCCUUGUAUCAGAUGUAAAUCACAAGCACUGGAUGUAGACCAUGUUGAUAACUCAUAAUAUCAAAUAACUCAAUCGAUCUGAUCAACCUGACACUAUUAACGCAAUAUAAAUUUGUGAAACUAAAUGUUUUAAUUGGAUUCCUUUCAAAGAAAUUAACAACAUUUUAUGUAUAUCAGGGUACUAGUAAACUUUAUAAAUAUACACUUUCUUCAUUGGGAAAAUUGUUUAAAAUUUGGAAUACUUUAAAAAUAAACAUAAAAAUAAAAAAUACUUGUAUGAAAUAUCAUGAUUGGGGUAUAAACUUGUCUUCCUAAAUUUAAGUUGAUGUUACAACCGACACAUCCAUAUACUUACUAAAUAAAUAUAAUAUUAUAUACAUAUAAUAAUAUGUAAUAGAAUAUAUAUAUUCUAAAGAUAUUGUAAAGACUCGUAAUACAUUUUUUUUAAAUUAUACACCACAAUGGAGUUUCCGCUGUCUACCUUGUGAUGGUACACAAUGAAUAACUUUCAACGAAAGUAUGUGCUGGGCUAUAAACUUAUAUUCAGUUGAAUUAAAAAUAGCUGACUAUUAAUUAAUAGAAAAAUGGAUAGCAAAGUUAUGGAUAAAUAGGAAAUUUUCUUUCCCAUUUUCAAUAAUGUGGUCAUUUUAGUAAACAUUAAAUACUUUGAUCAAAGAAUCAAUCGUAUAUUACUUCCUGACAAAGCACUUUUCUAACUGAGCAUAGCAAAUUUUGUCAAGGCGUUUGUUAUGUAAUAAUUAUUUGUAAAUAAGAUUAAGAAUGUUUAUCUGGUGACUUACUUUUCAUUCACCUUUAAAUUUGGCUAUUAGUCCAUGAUAAAGUACCCAGAGUAAGUAAGUUCUGUGUUAUAAUUACAUAUUUUUAAAACUAUAUUACUUUGUAAGAAUCAUCUCCUACUAUUACCUCUGAAUUUUUGCAAACUAAAGAAGAGAAAGAUUUGAUUUGAUAAUAGCUUAGUACGUUGGAAAUGUUACAUUUGUUAAGUAAUUUUCUGAUAUUAACUGAGAUCUUCCUUUGUCUUGUAAAUAUUUUUGUUGAGCUUGUAACAAUAUGUAUAUUAAGUAGUCAACGAAUGAUCAUAGAUUCUCAGACUAAUCGAAAGAUUUAGCAAUUUCACUUGUAUAUAUUAUGGAUAGAAUUUACACAGUUUUCCAAUAGUUGUUACGUUAAACUGUAAUCAUUAUGAGACCCCUCACAUUGUAUGUCAUCUCAUCUGCAAAUUGUAAAUACCAUAUUAAUAGUCUACCAGGAGAUGAAUGGAGUGAGGAGGUCAGAUGGAGAUGAUGAACUCGGCAUUGUUGGUACCUGAUGCGACUCUUGUUGAUCAAGCCCUGUGUAUUUUGUGAAAACCAUUGAUUUGAGCACAAAAUAAAAAUUAUUUAUUAUUGUUA